rnacentral:rRNA from 1 species
UAGGGAAUCUUCCGCAAUGGGCGCAAGCCUGACGGAGCAACGCCGCGUGAGUGAUGAAGGUCUUCGGAUCGUAAAACUCUGUUAUUAGGGAAGAACAAACGUGUAAGUAACUGUGCACGUCUUGACGGUACCUAAUCAGAAAGCAACGGCUAACUACGUGCCAGCAGCCGCGGUAAUACGUAGGUGGCAAGCGUUAUCCGGAAUUAUUGGGCGUAAAGCGCGCGUAGGCGGUUUUUUAAGUCUGAUGUGAAAGCCCACGGCUCAACCGUGGAGGGUCAUUGGAAACUGGAAAACUUGAGUGCAGAAGAGGAAAGUGGAAUUCCAUGUGUAGCGGUGAAAUGCGCAGAGAUAUGGAGGAACACCAGUGGCGAAGGCGACUUUCUGGUCUGUAACUGACGCUGAUGUGCGAAAGCGUGGGGAUCAAACA